UUAAUGAAGUCUACUUAUGCAAAAGAGAGACAGCAACCAAGACCACUGACACGGGCAACAGCUACUAUCAGCCAGGCUACACACAAAUGCCCGCGUAACGCCAGCAAUAGGCAGGAACGUCAGCCUGGACUUUGGUCGGUGGUGGACGGCUGACACACUUCAGGAUCACCGUGCCGGGCCAGAGGCCCUUUGCAGCUGGGGUUUAGGUCCCAGUCACCCUCCCUCGGGUCACACUGCCUGUCCUCUGCCCAGGUCACGUACGACACGGGCUGGGCUGCAGCAUGCCCAUCUGUGGGCAGAGAGAGGGGACAGGAAGUCCGGGCUGCAGCCCGCAAGGCAGGGAACAAAGCACGGGUCCCGGUGGCCGUCACCCCGGGGAGCGAGCCUGGAGCCCCGCGCUUGGGGUAGGUGGAGGUGCACAUCACCCCUGGGGCCGGGGGGGAGUGCGGGUUCCCCUCCCAGGGGCGGAGCUCGAGGCCGAGAGGCGCCCGCCCCACGUCGGCUCCCCGGGGAGAGUGAGGCUCGGCGGCGCGCACCCCGCCUGCGGGCCCCUCACCUUCCUGCUCCUCAUGAGUGAGCGCCCCUGCCCAACGCUCCUCCGCCG
rnacentral:lncRNA from 1 species